UCAAACUAAAACAACGAAAGCCCUACCUCUCUUCCAUCCUUGCGGCUCCGAAGACCGCGCCAGUGUGAUUUAGAUCCAUUUUACAGUCA
rnacentral:sRNA from 1 species